AUGCAACUGCUAGCGGCAGGAACCCUACAUGCAAGUCGAACGGUGUCUUCGGACAUAGUGGCGCACGGGUGCGUAACACGUAUGCAACCUACCUUACAUUGGGGGAUAGCCUUUCGAAAGGGAGAUUAAUACCGCAUAAGACAGUAGCUGGGCAUCCAGCAGCUGUUAAAGAUUUAUCGAUGUAAGAUGGGCAUGCGACCAAUUAGUUAGUUGGCGAGGUAACGGCUCACCAAGACUAUGAUUGGUAGGGGAACUGAGAGGUCAAUCCCCCACACUGGCACUGAGAUACGGGCCAGACUCCUACGGGAGGCAGCAGUAGGGAAUAUUGGGCAAUGGACGCAAGUCUGACCCAGCCAUGCCGCGUGCAGGAUGAAGGCGUUAUGCGUCGUAAACUGCUUUUAUACAGGAAGAAACGACUCUUGCGAGAGGCAUUGACGGUACUGUAUGAAUAAGCACCGGCUAACUCCGUGCCAGCAGCCGCGGUAAUACGGAGGGUGCAAGCGUUGUCCGGAUUUAUUGGGUUUAAAGGUGCGCAGGUGGUUUAUUAAGUCAGUGGUGAAAGACGGUCGCUCAACGAUUGCAGUGCCAUUGAAACUAGUAGACUUGAGUAAAGUAGAGGUGGGCGGAAUUGAUAGUGUAGCGUGAAAUGCAUAGAUAUUAUCAAGAACUCCAAUUGCGAGGCAGCUCACUUGGUUUUACUGACACUCAUGCACGAAA
rnacentral:rRNA from 1 species